UCCGGUUUGUCACCGGCGGUCUCCUUAGAGUUCCCAACUUAAUGAUGGCAACUAAGGACAAGGGUUGCGCUCGUUGCGCCACUUAAGGCAACACCUCACGGCACGAGCUGACGACAGCCAUGCACCACCUGUGCAGGCUCCGAAGAGCACCCGCUUUCACGGGUUUCACCCUGCAUGUCAAGCCCUGGUAAGGUUCUUCGCGUCGCAUCGAAUUAAACCACACGCUCCGCUGCUUGUGCGGGCCCCCGUCAAUUUCUUUGAGUUUUAACCUUGCGGCCGUACUCCCCAGGCGGAUAACUUAACGCGUUAGCUGCGCCACCGAAGCUCUAAGAGCCCCGACAGCUAGUUAUCAUCGUUUACGGCGUGGACUAC
rnacentral:misc_RNA from 1 species